rnacentral:rRNA from 1 species
UACGGAGGGUGCAAGCGUUAUCCGGAUUUACUGGGUUUAAAGGGUGCGCAGGCGGAUAUGUAAGUCAGUGGUGAAAUCUUUAGGCUUAACCUGAAAAUUGCCGUUGAUACUAUAUAUCUUGAAUGCUGUGGAGGUAAGCAGAAUAUGUCAUGUAGCGGUGAAAUGCUUAGAUAUGACAUAGAAUACCUAUUGCGAAGGCAGCUUACUACACAGAUAUUGACGCUCAUGCACGAAAGCGUGGGGAUCAAACAGG